CUGUCCCUACGGGAGGCAGCAGUGGGGAAUAUUGCACAAUGGGGGGAACCCUGAUGCAGCAAUGCCGCGUGGGUGAAGAAGCACUCCGGUGCGUAAAGCCCUGUCAGCAGGGAAGAAAAUGACAGUACCUGGACAAGAAGCCCCGGCUAACUACGUGCCAGCAGCCGCGGUAAUACGGAGGAUGCGAGCGUUAUCCGGAUUUAUUGGGUUUAAAGGGUGCGCAGGCGGAAUGUCAAGUCAGCGGUAAAAUUUCGGGGCUCAACCCCGUCGUGCCGUUGAAACUGGCGUUCUUGAGUGAGCGAGAA
rnacentral:rRNA from 1 species